AAGCAGGGGGGAAUAUUGGACAAUGGGCGCAAGCCUGAUCCAGCCAUACCGCGUGGGUGAAGAAGGCCUUCGGGUUGUAAAGCCCUUUUGUUGGGAAAGAAAUCCAGCUGGCUAAUACCCGGUUGGGAUGACGGUACCCAAAGAAUAAGCACCGGCUAACUUCGUGCCAGCAGCCGCGGUAAUACGAAGGGUGCAAGCGUUACUCGGAAUUACUGGGCGUAAAGCGUGCGUAGGUGGUCGUUUAAGUCCGUUGUGAAAGCCCUGGGCUCAACCUGGGAACUGCAGUGGAUACUGGGCGACUAGAGUGUGGUAGAGGGUAGCGGAAUUCCUGGUGUAGCAGUGAAAUGCGUAGAGAUCAGGAGGAACAUCCAUGGCGAAGGCAGCUACCUGGACCAACACUGACACUGAGGCACGAAAGCGUGGGGAGCAAACAGGAUUAGAUACCCUGGUAGUCCACGCCCUAAACGAUGCGAACCGGAUUUUG
rnacentral:rRNA from 1 species